UACGUAGGGUGCAAGCGUUGUCCGGAAUUAUUGGGCGUAAAGAGCUCGUAGGCGGUUUGUCGCGUCUGCUGUGAAAACUCGGGGCUUAACCCCGGGCCUGCAGUGGGUACGGGCAGACUAGAGUGCGGUAGGGGAGACUGGAAUUCCUGGUGUAGCGGUGAAAUGCGCAGAUAUCGGAAGGAACAUCAGUGGCGAAAGCGGCUUCCUGGUCCAGCACCGACGUUCAGGCACGAAAGCGUGGGGAGCAAACAGG
rnacentral:rRNA from 1 species